AGAGUUUGAUCCUGGCUCAGGAUGAACGCUAGCUACAGGCUUAACACAUGCAAGUCGAGGGGCAGCAUGAACUUAGCUUGCUAAGUUUGAUGGCGACCGGCGCACGGGUGAGUAACACGUAUCCAACCUGCCGUCUACUCUUGGACAGCCUUCUGAAAGGAAGAUUAAUACAAGAUGGCAUCAUGAGUCCGCAUGUUCACAUGAUUAAAGGUAUUCCGGUAGACGAUGGGGAUGCGUUCCAUUAGAUAGUAGGCGGGGUAACGGCCCACCUAGUCUUCGAUGGAUAGGGGUUCUGAGAGGAAGGUCCCCCACAUUGGAACUGAGACACGGUCCAAACUCCUACGGGAGGCAGCAGUGAGGAAUAUUGGUCAAUGGGCGAGAGCCUGAACCAGCCAAGUAGCGUGAAGGAUGACUGCCCUAUGGGUUGUAAACUUCUUUUAUAUGGGAAUAAAGGGUGCCACGUGUGGCAUUUUGUAUGUACCAUAUGAAUAAGGAUCGGCUAACUCCGUGCCAGCAGCCGCGGUAAUACGGAGGAUCCGAGCGUUAUCCGGAUUUAUUGGGUUUAAAGGGAGCGUAGAUGGAUGUUUAAGUCAGUUGUGAAAGUUUGCGGCUCAACCGUAAAAUUGCAGUUGAUACUGGAUAUCUUGAGUGCAGUUGAGGCAGGCGGAAUUCGUGGUGUAGCGGUGAAAUGCUUAGAUAUCACGAAGAACUCCGAUUGCGAAGGCAGCCUGCUAAGCUGCAACUGACAUUGAGGCUCGAAAGUGUGGGUAUCAAACAGGAUUAGAUACCCUGGUAGUCCACACGGUAAACGAUGAAUACUCGCUGUUUGCGAUAUACGGCAAGCGGCCAAGCGAAAGCGUUAAGUAUUCCACCUGGGGAGUACGCCGGCAACGGUGAAACUCAAAGGAAUUGACGGGGGCCCGCACAAGCGGAGGAACAUGUGGUUUAAUUCGAUGAUACGCGAGGAACCUUACCCGGGCUUAAAUUGCAGAUGAAUUACGGUGAAAGCCGUAAGCCGCAAGGCAUCUGUGAAGGUGCUGCAUGGUUGUCGUCAGCUCGUGCCGUGAGGUGUCGGCUUAAGUGCCAUAACGAGCGCAACCCUUGUUGUCAGUUACUAACAGGUUCCGCUGAGGACUCUGACAAGACUGCCAUCGUAAGAUGUGAGGAAGGUGGGGAUGACGUCAAAUCAGCACGGCCCUUACGUCCGGGGCUACACACGUGUUACAAUGGGGGGUACAGAGGGCUGCUACCACGCAAGUGGAUGCCAAUCCCAAAAACCUCUCUCAGUUCGGACUGGAGUCUGCAACCCGACUCCACGAAGCUGGAUUCGCUAGUAAUCGCGCAUCAGCCACGGCGCGGUGAAUACGUUCCCGGGCCUUGUACACACCGCCCGUCAAGCCAUGAAAGCCGGGGGUACCUGAAGUGCGUAACCGCAAGGAGCGCCCUAGGGUAAAACUGGUGAUUGGGGCUAAGUCGUAACAAGGUAGCCGUACCGGAAGGUGCGGCUG
rnacentral:rRNA from 1 species